rnacentral:rRNA from 1 species
GAUGAACGCUGGCGGCGUGCCUAAUACAUGCAAGUCGAGCGAACAGACUAGGAGCUUGCUCCUCUGACGUUAGCGGCGGACGGGUGAGUAACACGUGGAUCCCCUACCUAUAAGACUGGGAUAACUUCGGGAAACCGGAGCUAAUACCGGAUAAUAUAUUGAACCGCAUGGUUCAAUAGUGAAAGACGGUUUUGCUGUCACUUAUAGAUGGAUCCGCGCCGCAUUAGCUAGUUGGUAAGGUAACGGCUUACCAAGGCAACGAUGCGUAGCCGACCUGAGAGGGUGAUCGGCCACACUGGAACUGAGACACGGUCCAGACUCCUACGGGAGGCAGCAGUAGGGAAUCUUCCGAAAUGGGCGAAAGCCUGACGGAGCAACGCCGCGUGAGUGAUGAAGGUCUUCGGAUCGUAAAACUCUGUUAUUAGGGAAGAACAAAUGUGUAAGUAACUAUGCACGUCUUGACGGUACCUAAUCAGAAAGCCACGGCUAACUACGUG